UACGUAGGGUGCAAGCGUUGUCCGGAAUCACUGGGCGUAAAGCGCGCGCAGGCGGUCUUUCACGUCCGGGGUGAAAGCCCAGAGCUCAACUCUGGGAUUGCCUUGGAUACGGGGAGACUUGAGGAUCGGAGAGGCAAGGGGAAUUCCACGUGUAGCGGUGAAAUGCGUAGAGAUGUGGAGGAACACCUGUGGCGAAGGCGGCGACCUGGGUAGAUACUGACGCUGAGGUGCGAAAGCGUGGGGAGCAAACAGG
rnacentral:rRNA from 1 species